AAGGAUCAUUAUUGAAUAAGCUUGAACAGGCUGUUUUGCUGGCCCUCUGGGGCAAGUGCACGCUUGUCAUCUUUAUUUCUCCCCAACUGUGCACAUAUUGUAGACCCUGCCAGAUUGCAGGUCUAUGUUGUUUUACAAUCUCUGAAUGUUGUUAGAAUGUUGGAUUGGAAAUAAUAAAUAUACAACUUUCAGCAAUGGAUCUCUUGGCUCUU
rnacentral:misc_RNA from 1 species